GAGUUAGUAGCUCAAUUGGUAGAGCACUUUCUUGUCGAGAAAGAAAAUAUCGGGUCGAGGCCGGUCUAACUCG